CGCAACAACGGCUCAAUUUCAACCACGGUUUACCGUAUACCUACACACACUGACCGCUACAUAGAUUUUUCAUGACACCAUGACGAAAAACAUAAGAUUAGUGCAGCCAAAACUGUAAUUAAUAUGUCUUUGCAUUUACCAAGCAACACAUCAUGCAAAAUCCAGGAAUUAAAUCACGUUUGUGAAGCUCUCACACUCAAUGGCUAUCCCAAAAACUUGGUUACAAGAAUCACUCAA